CUGGGAUUCCUAUGCUUUGCUCAAAACAACUGACAAAAAGAGGUCUGCCUCUCCAACCCCGCUACUGCUGUGAAGGAUUGCUGUCUGAGACGGCAGCUCACUUCCUGUGCAUUAAUCAUUAGCUCCAUCUCUGGUAUGUGCAGCCAUGCACAUACCAAGGGUCCAAACUCCAAGCACUCAAGAUGGUUCAGAGGGAGGCACAAUCCAUAGCCACAGGCAGCCUGAGGACCGACUGCAUUUUGGAAUGCAGCCCCUGCACCGGGCCGGAGAGCAGGCACACACGUGGAAAGACACAGGAGACCUCCCAGAGAAACUGCAUGCUGCCCAAUCCUCCAGAGAGUGCAGAAAAAUCUGUUCAAGGCAACUUCAAAACAAGUCUGAUGAUGCCAGCAAAUGCACUUCAUGGAUGUGCAAAAGCUCUGAGUGUUGAGAAAACGGAGUUCUUUUAGAUGCCAGAUUAUUAAAAAGAGAGUGCAUGGCAGAGAAAGAAAGUUCACUUCUACAUCUCUACAACAGCACCACACAGCCCUGUUGGCUGUAAGAAAGAAAGAAAACCCUCUGAUUUCUGCCUGUUAUCAGUGCACCAAAUGACAAAACCUGGGACAUCAUCUCAGCUAAGCAGAACUGCUGAUAAUUGCAAGACACACUGCUGACAACUGAGAGACACAAGCUGGCUCUGGCCAUACAGGACAGACGUGCAGCCCAGGCAUGGCACUCUUGGGUCACAGCUGAGAGCCAGGUUUCACCUGCAGACUUCUUCAUAUACAUCAGGAUUGCUGGGCUUCUUUUUAACCCCUCAAGACAAUGGUUUCAAGUACAUUUUUAUUUCCAAAGACUACUUCCUGAUUCCUUCUUUUCUGACAUUUCUAAGCAUUGUUCCAAGUGCUGUGUUAACUUACCCAUAACUUGUUGCUAUGCUGCUAAGAAAAUAGAACCAUCCAUCAUAACAUCUCCUACCGAUUUUAUGCUGAGGGGAUUAUAAAUCAAUAGCUAUAAGGAGGCAGUGCGAAACAGACAGGUGCAUGCAUACGCACUGUAACGAAGUAAAGAUGAGUUACCAUGGAGCACUGGGAAGACCACGUGGAUGGAAGGACCAUGUAAGGUCUACGAACAUCUUAAAUGGUGAUUAAAAUGUUUUAGAAACGUUGCCAAACAAGACGAACUGCCCUCCUGUAAUCUGCCCAGGAAUGUUCCUUUAUGCGCCGUGCGCAUUUGUGCACACACUCGCUUCUAUCUGGGUCACAAUUUUAUAGCAACAGAGUAAGAAGAAGAUAUUGAGCAGCCCAUUAAGUGAUUUACCUUUAAGUUCUGAGGAGGUUCUGCCACUUUCCGCUGUCACAGAAGCUUAAGACAACAGUUUGCAUAGCCCUGACUUACCCCAUAGCCUGUGCUGGGCUAACCAGCCGCCCUGCUGGUGCUGGGUCACACAAAACAACUCUGGCAUCGGGAAUACAGAAAGGGCACAAAUGGAGCCUACAGAGCAGCGUUUGGUGUGCCGGGCCACCACGGCAUGGAACGGGAUGAAACUCAGAGGCAAACUGAAAAUGACCUCCUUGCUCUUCUUGUGAUCAAAGGAGAUUCGUGCUCUGGAGAGUAGGUUUUGUUUUAAGAUGAGACUCUUGAGUCUGUUCGUACCCGUUUCUGCUCAAGGACUAUUGAAUCAAUGUGGCCAGCUGCACCAAAAGCAACACAAACGAAAGCAGCGAGCCCCUCUCCUCGCCCCUGUGCCACCGAUACCUCUUCAGCAGCAGCUCCGAGGCUCACGUGCAGGACGGAGGUUUGCACUGCGGUAGCACCGAGGAGCCCAAGCAGCGGAUCAGGACGGCACUGAACCAAGCAAAUAAAUAAAUAAACAUGUAGAAAACAUCUGCUUUAUGCGCAACGGCGACGUGCAUGGAGCACAUGGAUAUUUCUCUACAGAAAUGAAAGCGUG
ensembl:lncRNA